UAAGGGGAGGAGAAGACGGCGGGAGGAGUUGAUCCCGGAGCGGAGGAGAGAGAAUUAGAAAAAAUCGGGUUGGCGGAGGAAGAGGAGCUUCCACCAUCGUUGGGCGGAGAUGACGGAGGAGGGGCAACACCAGAAACGUCUGUUGUUGGCGUGGUCAUGGUGGGUGAAUUCGGCGGCGAUUUCGGUGGGAGAAAUUAGGGUUUUGAGACCGGGUCGUUUGCUAGGGAUGUUGCUAUCAUGCUAUGCAUCCUGAGACUUGGAUUGAUUUCCCUUUGCCUGAGGAUGACGAGGAUGAAGGAAGUUGAAUUGCAUAAUUAUAAACGGAUAACGGGGAGAGAAAAUGUGUGAUAGAUCCUGCAAUGACCUCAGUUUGCGGUGCACCAGGUAAUUUUUAGUGUUUUCCAGUUAAAAUUUUAUAAAAUUUCGGCUAAAAUUUCAGAAUAUUUUGUUAAAAUGUUAUUGAUUUAUUGGAUUAUAAUGAAUUGAAGCUAGAUUGAGUGUGGUGUGCUUAUUAUUGACAAUUUUGAUUGUUCAUUGUUCUGUAAUUUUGUUUUUCCAAUUUUAUUACUCAUGUUAGGGAUAAUUUUCAAGCAAUUAGAACUCAGAAGGAGAUUUCUUUUUAGGAUUAGGUUUGUGGUUUUUCUUUGUGUUUUGGGUUGUAUAGUUAGAAUUUAGGUUGAGUUUCGUGGAUGCGACAGUAUGAAUGUAUGAUCAUAUCAAUUGCGCAACCUAUGGUGCUUUUGGGAGCAUUGAAGUAUUGUGCUCGAAAUGAAUGCGGUUUAGAGACUCUGGACGCUAGCUGUACCUAUAUCUUCGACCAAUUGGGACUGCAUGACUAAUUUGCGUUCUACCGGUGUGGUUCUUUCUAUUUAAGGGUGGAAAUGGCUCAAGCAAGGUAACCAAGAAUGUGAUGCAUUGUAGUACAAGAGUGAUUGUAAAUGUUCAUUGCAAGGGUAUUAUUACCGGCUUACUUUGAAUUUUCAAGAGCUUUUAUAGACUUUCAAAUGUAAUGGCAAUGGCAAUAUAAUCAGAGUUUUUGUAAAGCUACUCUGCAAAUUAAUCGGCUUUUUAUGGAAUAUAAUUCCUAUUUAUUGCUGGAAA